UGGACCUUUAAGGCCGAGCGGCUGCGUACUAUCGCCAUUUGCGUUAACAGCUGAUCGUUGGUGUACGUGCUGUCGGUUCCUUCUUCUUAUUAGUGAAAUACAUAUUUGUAAACCCUAAAUUAUCGUCUACAGUUUGGGCUUAUGUCGUCGUAGUGUUAAGUUUACCAGGAGCACAAGAACAGCUUCCCCUCGAUCACCAGUCGUCGUGUCUCCUGAAUUUUGAUCCUGCCCCGCCCCCCUCCCCCCUGACCUGUCAAUAUGUCUAUGCGGGAACCAAUUACAUUAAGGGAGAUCACCUACCUACCAGAGGAGAUAAACAUUUGGAUGUAUGCCAUAGUGGUCCUUGGGUCAGCCUUCCUGGUCUUCGUCGUCAUCUCCGUCUACCUCAUGUGGCGGUCCAUGCGGGGUGAGCGAGCGGACAUCAAACAGGAGACGUUGUGUGAGGCAGAGAAGGCCCUCAGCAGCAUCACCUCCCUCCACUCCUCCACCGAGCCCUAGGCCAGCCCUAUCUUCCUGGGGCAGCCCUACACCACUCUAGCCUCCCCUCUGAGGACCCUCCGAGCUACCCCGUCAGCACCUGCAACAAGCCACACCUGAUCAAACUCCACACCACCACCACACCCUUACGCCGACCCACACACACCUCUCACCUCAUCACCACCACCAUGUGUGACGCCCAUCAUCCUCCCCUACACCACCAUUCAACAUACGUGAGUGAUGACGACGUGGAUGAUACUGAGUCUGCAGGAUACCACUUAAACCGGAAGGAUGUUGAUUUACCCCUCCGGAAGGAUCUGUUGUCUCCUGUGAAGCGGCGAGGUUACAGCAGAGAGGUCGUAGAGGUUGAAAUGAUGGCCUCUCACUCUGGGAAUUCUAUGCUCUGGACCUCUACCUCCGCUGCCUCUAUGCGCUCGGUUGGACGGAUGGAAGAUGCCGCUGUCUAACCUCAGCUGCGUGCGAGGUCCUCCCGCUUAGCGCCCCUAUGGUCAAUGUUGGGUUUUGACCACCAAA